ACACAAUCUACAUUGCGUGAAUGUUUGACACAGUUAAAACAUUGCCUACCUUAAAAACAAGUGAAGUUUGAUCAGUGGUUAAACAUGUUCAGAAGGUUCCCUUGUACCUGAAUGGACGGCUCCUUUCCAGAAUAAAAUGAAAUAUGCAGAAAAUCACAGUAUAACAGUUCUUGUAUAGUGACAGGGCAGAAAGUCUUGGAGAAGCUAGAGAAGAGAGGACACCAGCAGCAGUUUAUGCAAGCUGUUGUGCUCAUGAUGCUGUGCCCUGUCGGCUUCCAUCAUGCAGCUCACAUCGCGUUUUAGUUUAUAAACAGAUUUAGUGCUUAUAACUUGUAAUAUAACAUAUUAUUUCUUUUUUUGUACUUUGUAAAUGUGAUGAAAAAUAACUGUAGCUCUGAACAACUCAAGUAAAAGUCAAAUUACUAUUAUUUAUUUAUUAUAUUAUUUAUUAUUUAUUCAUCUCUGGUUAAAGGCUGCUCAUGCACCUGAGAUUAAAUGUGAUUAGUGUCAUGAAAAGCUGUUUCUCUCUAUUGGUCUGCUUGAAUAUUGUGCACCAUUAAACCAUUCAAUUAUUGGACUGGAAAAAAUAAAUAAAUCUGUUUUUAAAAUGUGUGUCGUGCAACUGUACAUCUGUGGCUCUCACAGUCCCCACCAUUGCACAUUUAUUUUUUGUUUAGAUCUUAAAUCUUACCAGGACAUAAAUGUGGAGUCAUUUUUUUUAUUAUUAUUAUUAUCCUGGGAAAGCAAUUGGAAAGACAGCCUGAGACUCUUAUUAUUAUUAUUUUUAAAUCACUAUAUCUAUCGCUUCACUGUCUCUCAUUCUGUCACAUCACACAACCUAAUUGCAUCACCACCUGCAUCAAUCAGAGCUAAACUGGCCAUCUGUGUGUGUGUUAAUGGUGGGCUGGACAUUUGCACAAAUAUAAUACAAUUAAAGUUUUGUGAUGGAAAACAUGAAAUUGAUAAUGAUGAUUUCACUAAUUAUGCUGUCUCCGGUAUCAGUUCAAGAUAAUGACCUCAACAAUUUUGGGACCCACACAGACCACAGGGUGAGCACUUCCUGCUUGCCUUCCUAAUACCUCUUCCAGUAGCAACCUUAGUAUUCCCCUGGAGGUCUCCAAGCCAGUGGCGGAGAAUUCCCGCGGAUUUUUCACCGGAGAGACAGUUAAUCUUCAACUGCUGCUCAGGCGUCACUCACGCGGCAGAAACUCCGCAGGCAACAGGAUAGGGUCAUUUCAAUUAGAGUCCUGGCAGGUCUACAACUAUAAAUGAAAGAAGAGUCAUCACAGGUUUUCAAGGGCAAAAAAAAAAAAAGAAGAGGAGCUUGACCAAGCACAGAAAGGAGCAGAUGCCAUCAAUGCUUUGGAGCAGGAAGAGCGAAAGUUGCCUUUCAACCCACUGGAUGUAUUGAUUGUCCUUGAAAAUGAGCUGGGGACAUUUGUCAAAACUUGGGUCAGGUUAUACAGUAAAUGGUGUUGCAUCAUAAUGAUGGCAAUGUUGAAAGGAUCUUUUGAAUGAAUAGUUUCAUUUAUAAAUACAAACUGUUUCUGGUGUAAUUGUUACAGUAUUAGUUCAGAGAGUUUUCUCCUACCUGCAUAUAUUUCUGCAGUGUGCAAUCUGUUAAAAUGCAUUUUGAAUUGCGUUUAUUUAGAUUUACUGAAAUUCUUUAAGUCAUUGCAUAGCCCACUUGUUUUUAUGUUUUUUGUUUAUCGUCAUGAUUUUGUUACUAUUUUUGUAUUUGAGAACCUAUUUUGGUUCUAGGAGAGCAUGAAUAUCUAUGUUAGAUUGUAAAUUUGUAAACAACAAUAAAAACCUU